ensembl:lncRNA
GGUUAGCAUGUUUUGUUGUAGUCUCUGUUAUUGGUAAUGGUGAGAGGUUAGCAUGUUUUGUUGUAGCCUCUGUUAUUGGUAAUGGUGAGAGGUUAGUAUGUUUUGUUGUAGUCUCUGUUAUUGGUAAUGGUGAGAGGUUAGCAUGUUUUGUUGUAGCCUCUGUUAUUGGUAAUGGUGAGAGGUUAGCAUGUUUUGUUGUAGUCUCUGUUAUUGGUAAUGGUGAGAGGUUAGCAUGUUUUGUUGUAGCCUCUGUUAUUGGUAAUGGUGAGAGGUUAGUAUGUUUUGUUGUAGCCUCUGUUAUUGGUAAUGGUGAGAGGUUAGUAUGUUUUGUUGUAGCCUCUGUUAUUGGUAAUGGUGAGAGGUUAGCAUGUUUUGUUGUAGCCUCUGUUAUUGGUAAUGGUGAGAGGUUAGCAUGUUUUGUUGUAGUCUCUGUUAUUGGUAAUGGUGAGAGGUUAG